rnacentral:rRNA from 1 species
AACGAACGCUGGCGGCAGGCCUAACACAUGCAAGUCGAGCGCACCGCUAGGUGAGCGGCAGACGGGUGAGUAACGCGUGGGAAUCUACCCAACCCUACGGAAUAACCCUGGGAAACUUGGACUACUACCGGAUACGCCCUCUUGGGGCGAGGAUUAUCGGGGACGGAUGAGUCCGCGAGGGAUUAGCUAGUUGGCGGGGUAAAGGCCUACCAAGGCGACGAUCCAUAGCUGGUCUCAGAGGAUGAUCCGCCACAUUGGGACUGAGACACGGCCCGAACUCCUACGGGAGGCAGCAGUGGGGAAUAUUGGACCGUGGGCGCAAGCCUGAUCCAGCCAUGCCGCGUGAGUGAUGAAGGCCUUAGAGUUGUAAAGCGCUUUCAGCAGUGAAGAUAAUGACGGUACCUACAGAGGAAGCCCCGGCUAACUUCGUG